rnacentral:rRNA from 1 species
ACUCGGGAGAAGGAACUCGGCAAAUUAAUACCGUAACUUCGGGAGAAGGUAUGCCCCGGUAGUGUGAGGCGCCUGCGCGCUGAGCAUGAUGGGGUCGCAGAGAAUCGGUGGCUGCGACUGUUUAUUAAAAACACAGCACUCUGCAAAGACGAAAGUCGACGUAUAGGGUGUGACGCCUGCCCGGUGCCGGAAGGUUAAGUGAUGGGGUGCAAGCUCUUGAUCGAAGCCCCGGUAAACGGCGGCCGUAACAAUAACGGUCCUAAGGUAGCGAAAUUCCUUGUCGGGUAAGUUCCGACCUGCACGAAUGGCGUAACGAUGGCCACACUGUCUCCUCCCGAGACUCAGCGAAGUAGAAGUGUUUGUGAUGAUGCAAUCUCCCCGCGGCUAGACGGAAAGACCCCAUGAACCUUUACUGUAGCUUUGCAUUGGAUUGUGAACCGGCCUGUGUAGGAUAGGUGGGAGGCGCUGAAGCGUGGUCGCCAGAUCAUGUGGAGCCAACCUUGAAAUACCACCCUGGUUUGUUUGCGGUUCUAACCUUGGUCCGUUAUCCGGAUCGGGAACAGUGCAUGGUGGGCAGUUUGACUGGGGCGGUCUCCUCCCAAAGCGUAACGGAGGAGUUCGAAGGUACGCUAGGUACGGUCGGAAAUCGUGCUGAUAGUGCAAUGGCAUAAGCGUGCUUGACUGUGAGACUGACACGUCGAACAGGUGCGAAAGCAGGACAUAGUGAUCCGGUGGUUCUGAAUGGAAGGGCCAUCGCUCAACGGAUAAAAGGUACUCUGGGGAUAACAGGCUGAUACCGCCCAAGAGUUCAUAUCGACGGCGGUGUUUGGCACCUCGAUGUCGGCUCAUCUCAUCCUGGGGCUGUAGCCGGUCCCAAGGGUAUGGCUGUUCGCCAUUUGAAGAGGUACGUGAGCUGGGUUUAAAACGUCGUGAGACAGUUUGGUCCCUAUCUGCCGUGGGCGUUGGAUACUUGACGGAGCCUGCUCCUAGUACGAGAGGACCGGAGUGGACGUACCUCUGGUGUACCGGUUGUCAUGCCAAUGGCAUUGCCGGGUAGCUAUGUACGGAAGAGAUAACCGCUGAAGGCAUCUAAGCGGGAAACUCGUCUGAAGAUUAGGUAUCCCUGGGAACUUGAUUCCCCUGAAGGGUCGUUCUAGACCAGGACGUUGAUAGGUCAGGUGUGGAAGCGCAGUAAUGCGUUAAGCUAACUGAUACUAAUUGCCCGUGCGGCUUG